AGAACGAACGCUGGCGGCAUGCCUAACACAUGCAAGUCGAACGCUUUUGGGGCUUCGGUCCCAAAGGAGUGGCGCACGGGUGAGUAGCGCGUGGGAACCUGCCCUGUUGUGGGGGAUAACCGAGGGAAACUUCGGCUAAUACCGCAUACGCCCGGGGGAAACUCCGGGGAAAGAUUUAUCGCAGCAGGAGGGGCCCGCGUCGGAUUAGGUAGUUGGUGGGGUAACGGCCCACCAAGCCUGUGAUCCGUAGCUGGUCUGAGAGGAUGAUCAGCCACACUGGGACUGAGACACGGCCCAGACUCCUACGGGAGGCAGCAGUGGGGAAUAUUGGACAAUGGGCGCAAGCCUGAUCCAGCAAUGCCGCGUGAGUGAUGAAGGCCUUCGGGUUGUAAAGCUCUUUCGCACGCGACGAUGAUGACGGUAGCGUGAGAGAAGCCCCGGCUAACUUCGUGCCAGCAGCCGC
rnacentral:rRNA from 1 species